UCUAAAUUAAGCAAUACUUUAAUACUACUAUACUUUUCUAUGUACUUACACAGGGCAGAAUGUAGUGGAAUUUAAAUGACCUCUAAUUCUGAAAUGCCAUAAUUUCCCUUUAGAAUACAACAAAUUCUCAUCACAAAGAAACUCCCAAGAAAACCAUUUUUCUAUCAUUCGAUCUACAUCAUGUACAAGUACAUCUGAACCAUUCCCACCUCUAGCUAGAACACUAGCAGUGUAAAUGGAUGCCAUUCUACCAGGUGACUCGGUCGAAAGGCCACUCGGUCCAUCGACCACUAUGACAUCCCAAUUCUUCUCAUAUACUAUUGCAGGCAAAUUUUUCAAUGCAAGUUUACAUUUUGAUGUUUGAAGGUGUCUUGAGUUUGGUGUACAUGCUGGAUUGUUUCUUGCAUGUUUGAGUAGUUUAUAAGCUUCUUUUGUUGGUACAUUAUAGUUGAAGUUGUAUAUUUGAGUGUUGUUGAAGUUAGUUGUUACCUUUCUUGUUGUUGUUUUGUCGUGGUUAUCGUCGAGAAAGAUGGUGUUGCCUGCUUCAUUCAUUGAUGAGAGGAUAAGGAAUUGUGGUUGAAAACCAAAUAUGAGAAGGUUGCAAGGUGAUUUAAGAGCAAUUAAAUUUGAUAAAACUUUGAAUUCUUUCUCUUUGAAAGUGGUUGUAAUGUUGGAGGAUUCAUGUGUAUGUGAUGCAAUAAUUUUGUUGUAGGUGGAAAAAGGUGUAGAAGUAGUUUUAAUAUUGAGACUAAGAAUUCUAAAGAUUGAUAUGGUUGAGAGGAACAAAACAAGGAUAGGGAUGAGUUUCUUUUUUGUGAGAUUCAUCCUUUUUGUUACUUUUUGAUAUUUGUGAAAUAUAGAAGGUUGAUUUUCUUUUACUUGAGUUGUGUGUGGAGGUGAAAAUUGAACAAGAGGACGAAUAUGAAGUAUAUCAGGGGGCAUCUUGGAUAUUUUUUUUUCUCUUUCUUUAGUGCACCAAUGUUGUUACAUUAUGUAUUUCUUAUGGUGUUGUGUGCUUUUGAUGAUGAUAAUAGAUAUUCUUAUGUGCACCUUGUUGAGUAGAGAGGAAGGGAUGUUUUUGCUUUUGUUACAAGUUUCACUUUUUUGUUACCUAAAUUUUAUAUUGCUGGUUGAAAAAUGUGUCUUUCUUGUAUAGAAAGAUAUGUUCAUAUGAAUCUUUUUCUUUUGGUGCUGACAUGCGUCCUUAAGUUUGGUUUAUUG
rnacentral:lncRNA from 1 species